CCUACGGGCGGCUGCAGUGGGGAAUAUUGGACAAUGGGCGAAAGCCUGAUCCAGCCAUGCCGCGUGUGUGAAGAAGGCCUUCGGGUUGUAAAGCACUUUCAGUGGGGAAGAAAGCCUUGGGGCUAAUACCCUCGAGGAAGGACAUCACCCACAGAAGAAGCACCGGCUAACUCCGUGCCAGCAGCCGCGGUAAUACGGAGGGUGCGAGCGUUAAUCGGAAUUACUGGGCGUAAAGCGCGCGUAGGCGGUCUGAUAAGCCGGUUGUGAAAGCCCCGGGCUCAACCUGGGAACGGCAUCCGGAACUGUCAGGCUAGAGUGCAGGAGAGGAAGGUAGAAUUCCUGGUGUAGCGGUGAAAUGCGUAGAGAUCGGGAGGAAUACCAGUGGCGAAGGCGGCCUUCUGGACUGACACUGACGCUGAGGUGCGAAAGCGUGGGUAGCAAACAGGAUUAGAUACCCGGGUAGUC
rnacentral:rRNA from 1 species